UGACAGAGCACACGGGGGCGAUGUGACCCAAGGGAUACCGUAGAAUUGAUAGAAGUGAGCAUCAUCGCACAGGACGUAUGAAAAGCUCAGAAGAAAUGCUUCAGGUCAGAGACGUGCACUGAGAGUCAAGAUUUCUGCCAGUGAAGUGUCAGCAGAUUUUGCCCCAAGAGGAAAACCAGGGCUAUAGUGACAUGGUUUUCUUGGAGCCUGGUCCUCAGCCACAUUCAGCAUCUUUGGGAUGAACUGGAAUGGAAAACCUGAAUCCAAAGGAGUGGAAGCUGUUACAGAUACAUUUUGGGGGUCUAUAUACUUUAUGUAAUGUAGUGUAGGUUGCAAUCCAACCUUUUGCCCUGCCUUUUUUAUUUUGACACAUUUGAUUGCAUGAGCCAAAAUGAAUAUUUUAUACCCUGGAUUUUAUCUUGAAGUUGCAAGAGCCGCUGCAGGACAAAUAAACCGCAUAGCCUGGUAAAUCAAGUGUGAAACAGACAAAUAAUGACAGAUGCAGCUCAAGUUUUAUUCACAUUUAUUUUUGCUUUUAGUGUGCUCACAGAAAAUUAGAACACCUGAAGCAGAGGAGUUUAAUAGCAUAUUUGUAAGCAAAGUUACAUUCCAUUUCUAAACUGGUCAAAGCUUUUCCAGUAUUUACAAAAGAAAAGAGAGAAAAACAAGAUGCUACACAAACAUUUGCAUCUGAUAGAUUCCUUAAAUUUUGUCAAAGACCACUGAAAAAGCAUCGCCUGCUGUAAUCCAAAACAUACCACAGUAUAUAAACAGUUAACCAUCGGACUUGUCACAGCUUUCAUCUUGAGUUCAAAAUUGCUUAUGAAGGUAGUCCUGGAUGAUUUUUUGUGUAUAUAUAUGUGUGUGUAUAUUAUCUUACAAAAAUGAGCGGGUGGAAAAAAGACCUGCAAACUUCAUGUGCUUCUGGAGAUCAAGAUUUCAUUUUGUACAAUAAUCACAGUUAAAAACACCCCGCCUAUACAUACUUACAUUUUUAUUAAGGUCAUAAAACCAACAAUAAACAAUAAAGCCUAUACAACUUUUAUUUCUACUGAGUCACUGACUGGUACAGUUAAUGAGAAGUGAAACGCUCCUAUGAGUUUAUACGACUUCCUAAAAACCUAACUCUGGGAUUCUCUUGUUGCUUUGUAAAAAUGACUUAGUGUUGUAAACCGUACGUGGUCUGUGUGUGUGUAUAGCUGUUGGCCUUAUAUUCUCAUACACUACCCUUACCCCCCCCCCUCAUUUACAGCUCUGGCAAUCUCCUUCAUACCAUGGGCACGUCCAUACUAUUUUGUUUACAAUUUGUAUAAAAAUUUUAAAAGAACAACAAAUUAAUACUGAUGAAAAAAUAUAUGGCAGAGUGUGGAUGUAUUUAAUCUGGUGUACAUAUUGAAGCCACCCACCUCCCUAGCCCAUUAGAAUGGAAGCAACAGUGGACCAAGAUGGGUUUUGUAUAAGGGGAAAUGGAAACCAAAAAA